rnacentral:antisense_RNA from 1 species
CUUCAGCGACCCCAGCCAGAGCGGCCGGUCCAGAUCCCGGUCCCGCCCGUAGGUGGCCAGCAACGCCUGCGCCUC